rnacentral:rRNA from 1 species
GACGAACCGUCCAAACGUUAUUCGGAAUCACUGGGCUUACAGAGUUCGUAGGCGGUCUGGAAAGUCGGUCGUGAAAUGCCGGGGCUCAACCCCGGGACUGCGUCCGAUACUUCCGGGCUGGAGGUAGGUAGGGGAGAUCGGAAUUCCUGGUGUAGCGGUGAAAUGCGCAGAUAUCAGGAGGAACACCGGUGGCGAAGGCGGAUCUCUGGGCCUUACCUGACGCUGAGGCGCGAAAGCGUGGGGAGCGAACAGG